GAUGAAGAACGUAGCGAAAUGCGAUAACUAGUGUGAAUUGCAGAAUUCCGUGAAUCAUCAAGUCUUUGAACGCACAUUGCGCCCCCUGGUAUUCCGGGGGGCAUGCCUGUCCGAGCGUCAUUGCUGCCCAUCAAGCACGGCUUGUGUGUUGGGUCGUCGUCCCCCCCUCCGGGGGGGGACGGGCCCUAAAGGCAGCGGCGGCACCGCGUCCGAUCCUCGAGCGUAUGGGGCUUUGUCACCCGCUCUGUAGGCCCGGCCGGCGCUUGCCGAACGCAAAACAACCAUUCUUUCCAGGUUGACCUCGGAUCAGGUAGGGAUACCCGCUGAACUUAAGCAUAUCAAUAAGCGGAGGA
rnacentral:misc_RNA from 1 species